GAGAUGCAGUCUGAAUGUUCACGGUGGCUUCUGACGUGGCAGCGUGAAUUCUCAGCUGGGCAGUGCUGAGGAUUGAACCCAUGGCCUCGUUGCAUGUCAGGGCUCCAGUGCAGAUUUAGAUCCACCUUCUGGAUGCUUUGGUCCCUGGAACAAGGCAGCAGGCUCUUGCUAUCAAGAACCUGUCCCUGAGAAGGUGCUGGGAACAUUAAAUCUUCAUGUCUGGAGGACAAGAAAACUAAAAGUACUCAUUGUUCAGUAGCCACUGAGGCUGAUGGGAGGCGGGACUGUGGAUUCACGUGGCUGACGAUGACUGGUCUUCCUGGCCAUAUUGCUUUCUCUUUCUUUUAUCAAGUACAGACAUGGCGCCUGCCUGGAGUGGUGGUAUGAGUGCCCAAUCUCAACGAAACAACCAAGGCCACCUGUUCCCAUUUUUUUUUAUUGCUGUUGUUACAUGUGUAUAUGUGACAUAUGUGCAUGUAUGUUCAUGUGUUUGUGGGUACA
ensembl:lincRNA A330102I10Rik RIKEN cDNA A330102I10 gene